UGCUCCCUGGGGUGUUAGCCAGUUGGUGAAUGUCCCUGAGCCGAUGUUUUCAGUUAAGGGUCCUGCUUGGUGGUCAGUGCGCAAGCCCGGCAUGUACCGGGAAGCCUGCGACCAUUCAAUUCAGCACCCGCCUUGAGCCAGUGGGUUCAAGGGCUACCACGCAGCAGCGGCAUCUUGGGGAGCAC
rnacentral:other from 1 species